GGGUUGUGAGGUUAAGCGACUAAGCGUACACGGUGGAUGCCCUGGCAGUCAGAGGCGAUGAAGGACGUGCUAAUCUGCGAUAAGCGUCGGUAAGGUGAUAUGAACCGUUAUAACCGGCGAUUUCCGAAUGGGGAAACCCAGUGUGAUUCGUCACACUAUCAUUAACUGAAUCCAUAGGUUAAUGAGGCGAACCGGGGGAACUGAAACAUCUAAGUACCCCGAGGAAAAGAAAUCAACCGAGAUUCCCCCAGUAGCGGCGAGCGAACGGGGAGCAGCCCAGAGCCUGAAUCAGUGUGUGUGUUAGUGGAAGCGUCUGGAAAGGCGUGCGAUACAGGGUGACAGCCCCGUACACAAAAAUGCACAUAUUGUGAGCUCGAUGAGUAGGGCGGGACACGUGGUAUCCUGUCUGAAUAUGGGGGGACCAUCCUCCAAGGCUAAAUACUCCUGACUGACCGAUAGUGAACCAGUACCGUGAGGGAAAGGCGAAAAGAACCCCGGCGAGGGGAGUGAAAAAGAACCUGAAACCGUGUACGUACAAGCAGUGGGAGCACGCUUAGGCGUGUGACUGCGUACCUUUUGUAUAAUGGGUCAGCGACUUAUAUUCUGUAGCAAGGUUAACCGAAUAGGGGAGCCGAAGGGAAACCGAGUCUUAACUGGGCGUUAAGUUGCAGGGUAUAGACCCGAAACCCGGUGAUCUAGCCAUGGGCAGGUUGAAGGUUGGGUAACACUAACUGGAGGACCGAACCGACUAAUGUUGAAAAAUUAGCGGAUGACUUGUGGCUGGGGGUGAAAGGCCAAUCAAACCGGGAGAUAGCUGGUUCUCCCCGAAAGCUAUUUAGGUAGCGCCUCGUGAAUUCAUCUCCGGGGGUAGAGCACUGUUUCGGCAAGGGGGUCAUCCCGACUUACCAACCCGAUGCAAACUGCGAAUACCGGAGAAUGUUAUCACGGGAGACACACGGCGGGUGCUAACGUCCGUCGUGAAGAGGGAAACAACCCAGACCGCCAGCUAAGGUCCCAAAGUCAUGGUUAAGUGGGAAACGAUGUGGGAAGGCCCAGACAGCCAGGAUGUUGGCUUAGAAGCAGCCAUCAUUUAAAGAAAGCGUAAUAGCUCACUGGUCGAGUCGGCCUGCGCGGAAGAUGUAACGGGGCUAAACCAUGCACCGAAGCUGCGGCAGCGACACUAUGUGUUGUUGGGUAGGGGAGCGUUCUGUAAGCCUGUGAAGGUGUACUGUGAGGUAUGCUGGAGGUAUCAGAAGUGCGAAUGCUGACAUAAGUAACGAUAAAGCGGGUGAAAAGCCCGCUCGCCGGAAGACCAAGGGUUCCUGUCCAACGUUAAUCGGGGCAGGGUGAGUCGACUCCUAAGGCGAGGCCGAAAGGCGUAGUCGAUGGGAAACAGGUUAAUAUUCCUGUACUUGGUGUUACUGCGAAGGGGGGACGGAGAAGGCUAUGUUGGCCGGGCGACGGUUGUCCCGGUUUAAGCGUGUAGGCUGGUUUUCCAGGCAAAUCCGGAAAACUAAGGCUGAGGCGUGAUGACGAGGCACUACGGUGCUGAAGCAACAAAUGCCCUGCUUCCAGGAAAAGCCUCUAAGCAUCAGGUAACAUCAAAUCGUACCCCAAACCGACACAGGUGGUCAGGUAGAGAAUACCAAGGCGCUUGAGAGAACUCGGGUGAAGGAACUAGGCAAAAUGGUGCCGUAACUUCGGGAGAAGGCACGCUGAUAUGUAGGUGAAGUCCCUCGCGGAUGGAGCUGAAAUCAGUCGAAGAUACCAGCUGGCUGCAACUGUUUAUUAAAAACACAGCACUGUGCAAACACGAAAGUGGACGUAUACGGUGUGACGCCUGCCCGGUGCCGGAAGGUUAAUUGAUGGGGUCAGCGCAAGCGAAGCUCUUGAUCGAAGCCCCGGUAAACGGCGGCCGUAACUAUAACGGUCCUAAGGUAGCGAAAUUCCUUGUCGGGUAAGUUCCGACCUGCACGAAUGGCGUAAUGAUGGCCAGGCUGUCUCCACCCGAGACUCAGUGAAAUUGAACUCGCUGUGAAGAUGCAGUGUACCCGCGGCAAGACGGAAAGACCCCGUGAACCUUUACUAUAGCUUGACACUGAACAUUGAGCCUUGAUGUGUAGGAUAGGUGGGAGGCUUUGAAGUGUGGACGCCAGUCUGCAUGGAGCCGACCUUGAAAUACCACCCUUUAAUGUUUGAUGUUCUAACGUUGACCCGUAAUCCGGGUUGCGGACAGUGUCUGGUGGGUAGUUUGACUGGGGCGGUCUCCUCCUAAAGAGUAACGGAGGAGCACGAAGGUUGGCUAAUCCUGGUCGGACAUCAGGAGGUUAGUGCAAUGGCAUAAGCCAGCUUGACUGCGAGCGUGACGGCGCGAGCAGGUGCGAAAGCAGGUCAUAGUGAUCCGGUGGUUCUGAAUGGAAGGGCCAUCGCUCAACGGAUAAAAGGUACUCCGGGGAUAACAGGCUGAUACCGCCCAAGAGUUCAUAUCGACGGCGGUGUUUGGCACCUCGAUGUCGGCUCAUCACAUCCUGGGGCUGAAGUAGGUCCCAAGGGUAUGGCUGUUCGCCAUUUAAAGUGGUACGCGAGCUGGGUUUAGAACGUCGUGAGACAGUUCGGUCCCUAUCUGCCGUGGGCGCUGGAGAACUGAGGGGGGCUGCUCCUAGUACGAGAGGACCGGAGUGGACGCAUCACUGGUGUUCGGGUUGUCAUGCCAAUGGCACUGCCCGGUAGCUACAUGCGGCAGAGAUAAGUGCUGAAAGCAUCUAAGCACGAAACUUGCCCCGAGAUGAGUUCUCCCUGACUCCUUGAGAGUCCUGAAGGAACGUUGAAGACGACGACGUUGAUAGGUCGGGUGUGUAAGCGCAGCGAUGCGUUGAGCUAACCGGUACUAAUGAACCGUGAGGCUUAACCUUACAACGCCGAAGGUGUUU
rnacentral:rRNA from 1 species